rnacentral:rRNA from 1 species
UACGAAGGGGGCUAGCGUUGCUCGGAAUUACUGGGCGUAAAGCGCACGUAGGCGGCUUUCUAAGUCGGGGGUGAAAUCCUGGAGCUCAACUCCAGAACUGCCUUCGAUACUGGAGAGCUUGAGUCCGGGAGAGGUGAGUGGAACUGCGAGUGUAGAGGUGAAAUUCGUAGAUAUUCGCAAGAACACCAGUUGCGAAGGCGGCUCACUGGCCCGGUACUGACGCUGAGGUGCGAAAGCGUGGGGAGCAAACAGG